rnacentral:rRNA from 1 species
ACCAGACUCCUACGGGAGGCAGCAGUGGGGAAUAUUGCACAAUGGGGGAAACCCUGAUGCAGCGACGCCGCGUGAGUGAAGAAGUAUUUCGGUAUGUAAAGCUCUAUCAGCAGGGACGAAAAUGACGGUACCUGAGUAAGAAGCCCCGGCUAACUACGUGCCAGCAGCCGCGGUAAUACGUAGGGGGCAAGCGUUAUCCGGAUUUACUGGGUGUAAAGGGAGCGUAGACGGUUAUGCAAGUCUGGAGUGAAAGGCAGGGGCUCAACCCCCGGACUGCUCUGGAAACUGUAGAUCUAGAGUGCAGGAGGGGUAAGUGGAAUUCCUAGUGUAGCGGU